rnacentral:rRNA from 11 species
CUGCGGAGGAUCAUUG